GACAAUGCAUUCCACCCAGCUACACCUGUGUUUGGGGCUAACAACUUACACUUGUGUUCAACUAAAGCAGCAUUUCUCUUCGUGGAAAAUGUAUAUUCUGGAUUUCAUUUCUCAGUUUCUGGAAGAAACUGAGCAACUGCUGUCAGCUCCAGGGAGCAUGCAUAGACUAAUCUACAAGAAGAUGAAGCUGAACCAGCUACUGGAAUGUAUAUGCACUGGGUCAGGUAAAAGAAAUAUAUUCCCACAGUUGAGGUAAUUCACAGCAUGCCUGAAUUCUCACUUCACAGCUGUUUAGUUCUGGGUGCUGUCUUCCUUUGUGAGGAAUCAGUGCAUUUCAUGACAUUGAAAAUGUGGAAAUUUUGAAAAAAAAAAUAAAUUAGUUAAUGCAUCUCUCUGUCUGUGUAUGCUAGAGAUAUGGAACCUUUGAAAACGCAAAUCAUUGUAUUUUUCAGUGUGUGGAAAAAAAAGCCUCAGCAGGACAAUGCUUGCUUUGAAUCCUAAAUGAAUAAACAAAUGAGUAGAAACUGAGACUGUGCAGUCAAAGUUUGCAAAACAAGCCAGCUCAUGCAUCUGAGAAUAAACCUGCAGUUAAAACAAAAAUAUGAGGCUACAAAAAACCAUCUCUCAUUGCUGGUAUAACUGCAAAUCUAAUUUCAUUCUUAGAAGAUUCAUCAAGAUACCUUUGACCAGAACACUCCAGUCUAAUUUGGAUCAGCAUAUGUUGUCCAACAUGCUCUCUGCUCAUCUGCUCUCUACUUAAUGGAGGCUGCACUGGUGUGAUUAACAGAACUCACAUGGGGAACAAGUGGUGUUGGGCUGCUUACAUCAAAGAGCAGCCAGUGGUACCCUGAGACAGGAGCCACUAGUGUAUCUCUGGAAUGUAGUCACGCUCCUCUUCCUUCUUGGUCUCUGAACACUUGCAUUUUAAGCCAGUCUGGGCAGAACUUUAUAGCUUAUUUUUGGCAGCAUGUGAAAGAGCUUGUUGUCAAGCCUUUAGCUUCAGAUUGGUCAGCACAAUUUUCUGAAAAUUUGUAUAACGUUUGGUCUUCUGUGCCAAGUAUGAGCUGAGUGCAGAGGACAACAUUGCACUUACAGCAACUGCACUUCAGCUGUCAUGUUCCAGGUGGAACUGCAAAUGUUUACAGAUGAGACAAGUCUUCCACAGUUCAGUAUAUGAAUGCCUUCAAUCUGGCCCUCUCCCACAAAUGUGAAGGAAGUAAGCUGGUAGCUCUGGAGCAAGUUAAUUGUGUGCCCAUGACAUGCUGCAGCCAUUCAUUAAGCAAAGACUUUUAAAGUCAUGCAAAAUACUGAAGAACAUUAGCAAAGACCUCUAAUAAUGAAAGGUUAAGACUACUGAUGGUAUUUUACAGCUUUGACAUAUGUAAAACAAGCUCAGGUAGCAUGUAUUCUGCUAGACUGUGUGAAGAAACAUCAUGUACUCCAACAAGUACUAGCAUUGAGUAUAUCAAGUCUGAAAUGAAAAACUUAAAAUAAUUAUAUGUGUAUGCAAUUCAAAUAGAACAGCAAAUAAAGUUACAAACACUGAAUUAA